rnacentral:piRNA from 1 species
GGACCAAAUGUAGAACAGAGAAC